AUUUACAAACGCAUCACAUCUACCAUUAAAAUUGUCAAUUUUGAAACCUUUUGAUCACUAGCCAAAUAAUGCCGAAAAAUUAUGAAAUUUAGUUUCCAAAUACUUCUAAUAGUGUAGAUUAAGUCUAACGGAGCCGAUUGUCGAUUUGGAAGCCGCAUCAUUGAAAACAACUUGGUAGCACGGAGACCUCCCUGCUACUGAUAGUAUACCAGCCUAGCGCCCUCUCUCUCUCUCUCUCUCUCUCUCUCUCUCUCUCUCUCUCUCUCUCUCUCUCCAUAUAUAUGUCACGCCCCGGAUUACACGUUCCUCGAGCACGCCGACAAAUCCGCCGUAUACAAAAAAAAUUUUCCUAUAUAUGAAGCGAUAGUUGUCUCUGCAAAAUAUACAAUACUACAAACAGUAGUAUAGAGCUGAAAAGAACUAA
rnacentral:lncRNA from 1 species